GGGUUGUGAGGUUAAGCGACUAAGCGUACACGGUGGAUGCCCUGGCAGUCAGAGGCGAUGAAGGACGUGCUAAUCUGCGAUAAGCGUCGGUAAGGUGAUAUGAACCGUUAUAACCGGCGAUUUCCGAAUGGGGAAACCCAGUGUGUUUCGACACACUAUCAUUAACUGAAUCCAUAGGUUAAUGAGGCGAACCGGGGGAACUGAAACAUCUAAGUACCCCGAGGAAAAGAAAUCAACCGAGAUUCCCCCAGUAGCGGCGAGCGAACGGGGAGCAGCCCAGAGCCUGAAUCAGUGUGUGUGUUAGUGGAAGCGUCUGGAAAGGCGCGCGAUACAGGGUGACAGCCCCGUACACAAAAAUGCACAUGCUGUGAGCUCGAUGAGUAGGGCGGGACACGUGGUAUCCUGUCUGAAUAUGGGGGGACCAUCCUCCAAGGCUAAAUACUCCUGACUGACCGAUAGUGAACCAGUACCGUGAGGGAAAGGCGAAAAGAACCCCGGCGAGGGGAGUGAAAAAGAACCUGAAACCGUGUACGUACAAGCAGUGGGAGCACGCUUCGGCGUGUGACUGCGUACCUUUUGUAUAAUGGGUCAGCGACUUAUAUUCUGUAGCAAGGUUAACCGAAUAGGGGAGCCGAAGGGAAACCGAGUCUUAACUGGGCGUUAAGUUGCAGGGUAUAGACCCGAAACCCGGUGAUCUAGCCAUGGGCAGGUUGAAGGUUGGGUAACACUAACUGGAGGACCGAACCGACUAAUGUUGAAAAAUUAGCGGAUGACUUGUGGCUGGGGGUGAAAGGCCAAUCAAACCGGGAGAUAGCUGGUUCUCCCCGAAAGCUAUUUAGGUAGCGCCUCGUGAAUUCAUCUCCGGGGGUAGAGCACUGUUUCGGCAAGGGGGUCAUCCCGACUUACCAACCCGAUGCAAACUGCGAAUACCGGAGAAUGUUAUCACGGGAGACACACGGCGGGUGCUAACGUCCGUCGUGAAGAGGGAAACAACCCAGACCGCCAGCUAAGGUCCCAAAGUCAUGGUUAAGUGGGAAACGAUGUGGGAAGGCCCAGACAGCCAGGAUGUUGGCUUAGAAGCAGCCAUCAUUUAAAGAAAGCGUAAUAGCUCACUGGUCGAGUCGGCCUGCGCGGAAGAUGUAACGGGGCUAAACCAUGCACCGAAGCUGCGGCAGCGACGCUGAUGCGUUGUUGGGUAGGGGAGCGUUCUGUAAGCCUGCGAAGGUGUGCUGUGAGGCAUGCUGGAGGUAUCAGAAGUGCGAAUGCUGACAUAAGUAACGAUAAAGCGGGUGAAAAGCCCGCUCGCCGGAAGACCAAGGGUUCCUGUCCAACGUUAAUCGGGGCAGGGUGAGUCGACCCCUAAGGCGAGGCCGAAAGGCGUAGUCGAUGGGAAACAGGUUAAUAUUCCUGUACUUGGUGUUACUGCGAAGGGGGGACGGAGAAGGCUAUGUUGGCCGGGCGACGGUUGUCCCGGUUUAAGCGUGUAGGCUGGUUUUCCAGGCAAAUCCGGAAAAUCAAGGCUGAGGCGUGAUGACGAGGCACUACGGUGCUGAAGCAACAAAUGCCCUGCUUCCAGGAAAAGCCUCUAAGCAUCAGGUAACAUCAAAUCGUACCCCAAACCGACACAGGUGGUCAGGUAGAGAAUACCAAGGCGCUUGAGAGAACUCGGGUGAAGGAACUAGGCAAAAUGGUGCCGUAACUUCGGGAGAAGGCACGCUGAUAUGUAGGUGAGGUCCCUCGCGGAUGGAGCUGAAAUCAGUCGAAGAUACCAGCUGGCUGCAACUGUUUAUUAAAAACACAGCACUGUGCAAACACGAAAGUGGACGUAUACGGUGUGACGCCUGCCCGGUGCCGGAAGGUUAAUUGAUGGGGUCAGCGCAAGCGAAGCUCUUGAUCGAAGCCCCGGUAAACGGCGGCCGUAACUAUAACGGUCCUAAGGUAGCGAAAUUCCUUGUCGGGUAAGUUCCGACCUGCACGAAUGGCGUAAUGAUGGCCAGGCUGUCUCCACCCGAGACUCAGUGAAAUUGAACUCGCUGUGAAGAUGCAGUGUACCCGCGGCAAGACGGAAAGACCCCGUGAACCUUUACUAUAGCUUGACACUGAACAUUGAGCCUUGAUGUGUAGGAUAGGUGGGAGGCUUGGAAGUGUGGACGCCAGUCUGCAUGGAGCCGACCUUGAAAUACCACCCUUUAAUGUUUGAUGUUCUAACGUUGACCCGUAAUCCGGGUUGCGGACAGUGUCUGGUGGGUAGUUUGACUGGGGCGGUCUCCUCCUAAAGAGUAACGGAGGAGCACGAAGGUUGGCUAAUCCUGGUCGGACAUCAGGAGGUUAGUGCAAUGGCAUAAGCCAGCUUGACUGCGAGCGUGACGGCGCGAGCAGGUGCGAAAGCAGGUCAUAGUGAUCCGGUGGUUCUGAAUGGAAGGGCCAUCGCUCAACGGAUAAAAGGUACUCCGGGGAUAACAGGCUGAUACCGCCCAAGAGUUCAUAUCGACGGCGGUGUUUGGCACCUCGAUGUCGGCUCAUCACAUCCUGGGGCUGAAGUAGGUCCCAAGGGUAUGGCUGUUCGCCAUUUAAAGUGGUACGCGAGCUGGGUUUAGAACGUCGUGAGACAGUUCGGUCCCUAUCUGCCGUGGGCGCUGGAGAACUGAGGGGGGCUGCUCCUAGUACGAGAGGACCGGAGUGGACGCAUCACUGGUGUUCGGGUUGUCAUGCCAAUGGCACUGCCCGGUAGCUAAAUGCGGAAGAGAUAAGUGCUGAAAGCAUCUAAGCACGAAACUUGCCCUGAGAUGAGUUCUCCCUGACUCCUUGAGAGUCCUGAAGGAACGUUGAAGACGACGACGUUGAUAGGCCGGGUGUGUAAGCGCAGCGAUGCGUUGAGCUAACCGGUACUAAUGAACCGUGAGGCUUAACCUUACAACGCCGAAGGUGUUU
rnacentral:rRNA from 1 species